UACAGAGGAGCCAAGCGUUGUCCGGAUUGACUGGGCGUAAAGCGCACGCAGGCGGACGCGCGCGUGGGGUGUGAAAUCUGGCCGCUUAACGGCCAGGCGCCAUCCCAUACGGCGCGACUGGAGUGAUGCAGAGGUCGAUGGAAUUGCCGGUGUAGUGGUGAAAUGCGUAGAGAUCGGCAGGAACACCCAGGGGUAAACCAGUCGACUGGGCAUCUACUGACGCUGAGGUGCGAGAGCGUGGGGAGCGAACCGG
rnacentral:rRNA from 1 species